UCCGAUGAUCCUUCACCGCCGGAGACGACGGAGAAGACGAAACGGUGGUGGAGGAAGAAGAAGAUCGGUGAAUGAUGUAAUACGACGUAGUAUUAGGUAAUCGAGAGAGUUUAUCUCUUAAACAACAAGGACAAACUCCUCUGUUGCUUUGGUGGUUGUGCUUUCUGCAUUCCAUUUUUCUUCUUUUUUUUCGCUUUGAUUACUCUCAAAGAGGUUUAUGUGUGUGUGGGAUAUAUAUGUAUUACACACGCAAGCGCACGUGUGAAAUAUUGCCACGUGUGCUUCAACGUCGGUAUAACCAAAGAAAGGUCAUUAAGGUUUCGCUAUGUUGACAGGGCUUUUCGUAGAAGACGCACCUCUGACGUGUAAAGGACCACUUAUAAAAUGAGUCUAAUUAUUGUUUUUCUUUUUUCUUUUUACGUCAAUAAAAUUAUUAAGUGAUUGGAUCAAUUAAGGAACAUAAUUUAGAAAAUGAUUGUUUUUUUUUUUUUUUGACAAACUUAAGAAAAUGAUUGUUAUCUUUAUACUGAAAAUAUCUGAGGGCAAAAAAAUCUAAACAACUGAUAGUCGCCAUCUAAUUAUAGUUUUUUAUUUAAAAUUUCUUAAUUGAUAAAAAUCUUUAUUAUUUUGUACUAUGAUAUCAUCUUAAAUGUACAAAUUUUUUUAUUUUGACAUUUAAAUUGUUUUUGAAUUAAAUUUACAGCUCUUUUUUGCUUUUUAAUUAUUAUAUAAAACAUUUUUCCAAAUUCAAUUAAAGAAAAUCUAACCGGUGUCCAUAGAUUUUUGUUCUAUAGCAAAAAAAAUGUCCCUAGAUUUUAUGUGCAAGUUAGUUAACGAAGAUUAUAUAGAAUGGGUGAUGUAAGUGAGAGAAGUCACAGGCCGUGACACUAAUAAAAACUUAAAUUUGGUUCAAACAAUUUCACGAUGAAAUAGGGUCAACAAAAGAAACGCAAAAUUGAAAGAGGUUUGAUAGCGAUAGACGGUUGUGAUUUAAACAAACACUCAACAUGUUAUGGAACCCACUUUGUUAGGUAUCAUCUGACGGUGACCGUUGGCCGGUGGACUCGGGACUCGCUUCUAACGCGUACCAAAAAAAGUAAAUAAAAAAAACCCACUCGUGCGCAUUCAUUUUUUAUCUCAUCUUUUUAAUUUAUUAGUACGUGACUUUUGAUUUCUGUAUAUUAUUUUCAGUUUUGUUUCUUGAAGAAUGGUGCGCCGUAUGCUUUCAAUUUUGUGUGCACGUGAGAGUGUAGUCAAUAAGGUCGACCAAAAUUUAUGGGAAAAUGAAGUUAUUGGAGACGAAAUCUAGAAGUUUUUACGGUUCAUGAUCGUGGGAAUGAGUGACUGAUCGGAUUACAAAGUAGAUCCUCUUGUUAUUUUUCUAAUCCGGGAAACACUAUUUAUUCGAUGAACCUUCCUUAACAUUUAUUGAUUUACCAAU
rnacentral:lncRNA from 1 species